GACCAGUUUACAUUUUUCUUUGAAGCUUUGUGUAACUAUUUUGACUUUGUUUUCUAAGUUUGCAUUUUGACUUUUCCUGUCACCAUAGUCAUUUUCUGGGGUUGGGUUCUUUUUCUGUUUGCUCUUUUUUCCAGCCUGUUUUUUGACGUUUAACUUUAUGUUAAAGCAAGGCUGUCCCUGGGAUGGAUAGAGCAUUGUUCCAAGCUUGAGGUUUUUUGUGCUGCUGUUCUCAGAACUAAUUUUGGGAAUCUGUACGUUUUCUCUUCUUCCAAGGUGAUGUGAUUUAAGGAGAAAUGGAGUAGCCACUCUUCUGGCCUAUGCUCUACUCUGUGAGCAGACGAGCACUCUGCCCUAGAAUUGUGGGGUCCCACCUACCUUGCAGCUACACCCUAGUGUGCUGGUACUCCUCUUCCCUCCACCCUGAGACCUCAACUCAGGCCAAGCACUCCAGAAGCUGCUGUUGCUGAUUCAGUCACCCCAAGGCCCCCGGCCAGCUGCCUUGCUUCCCAGCUUGGCAUCUUUGGGCUCAUUUGCCAGGGGUGCGGCCUGCCUUGGACUAUCCUCUCCUCUAGUAAGACAGACCUUUUCUGCUGACAUUGUGGCCCAAAUGACUGAGCGGGGAAGGAGACUGCCGCGGAGGCUGGUUCCUGCAGACCUGUAGCUUCUCCUUUCAGCUUGCAGCCGGGGCUGGCAGGAUGAAGGAGGUGGAGAAGCUGGAGGGCCUCCGAG